rnacentral:lncRNA from 1 species
UUAAGCCGAGGGAAGCGUUGCAUCGAUUCGAAGAUCCGUUACGUUAGAUUCGCAUUUUUAAGUUCGAUCGAACAACAACCACGCGAAGUAAACGAUUUAUCCACCAGUGAUAAUGUAUAAUAAACGUAACCUGAUGAUACGAUAUGGGUGAUAUAGGUAAAAGGAUAACGUGUGCUGGCACUCAAACGCGUAAAUAUAACAAGAAGAAAAAGAAAGAGAAAGAGAAAGAGAAAGAAGGAGGAAAGGAGGAGGAGGAGGAGGAGGGAAGAAAAUUCCAUCGUAGCAGAGUUUCGUCGUUAGAUGGAGAACGAUGCGUUAAGCCUACGGUUUCCCUGGUCGUCCGCGGUGACAAUUGCAUUUAACGAGGCGUUUGUACGAGGAGGCCGAAUAUCGAGUUCGGGUUCUCGUGCCAGGGUUAGCGUUUACGUAACGUGCCCACGCAUCCAAAUGUACCGAAAGGAACGCCGCUUUAUCUAUAUUUAUCAAGCUUAUCGCCUCUAGCGCCGCAAUAUCUGCCUGCUCUGUCCAUCAUUGUACCGUGGAUAAAUCGUUGGAUCUCAGUGGCCCCGUGAAAUAAGGCUGGAUCUUAAUAUCACGUUGAUAGAGUAAUCGAGCUACGUCUAAAAUGAAAUUUUGGUAUGGAAGAAAAAUACUCGAAUCGUUGGUACUACUGUAGCAAGAAAUUCAAAGUCGAAUUUUUUUCUAUUACUGCCGAAUAUUUAAUAUCGUUAUAAUCUGUAAAAUAAGAUCGAUAUUAGGUACGUACGAGUUCCAUUUCUUCAGUUUCGUUCGUAAACGUGUAAAAUCGUAUAAACAUCCGUAGUUUCGCUGUAUGACUCGUGGACUAGAGCGUAACCACGAUAUAACGUACUGUUUUUAAUAGAGACGCAUCGAGAAGCAAAGGAUCCUGGAGAGAAUAAAUUAUCGCGUCCAAAAUAUCGAUGAUCUCUGGCGACGAGUUACUCCGUGCUUUCCAGAUAAUAAAAUUAACGUUUCCAUUAUUUUUAUCGCGACACGCCGUUGUUUAAAACGUAGCGCUUAAUUCACGAGAUAUUUAGUUUCAGGAGUGGAAGCAUUUUACUACCCACUUUUCGUUUAGAGGAGGCGCGCUUUUAUCGCGUCGUUUUUGACACGCGUCCAUAAACCGAUUAAAUAUUUUCUAAUACCAAUGUCGAUAAGCGAACGAGUGCAUGUUACACGGAUCGGCGAUUUUAGCAAGCUCUUAAACGCCCGUAGAAGGAUGUUCAUCGCGAGUACGUACGAGUCUUAAGAUUAUCGCUAUACCUGUUAGUCGUUGGAAAGACUUAUAAAACGUACGUUACGUUCCGUCAAAUUCGAUCGAUCAACGAUAGCAGCGAUAAUAUUAGGUUGUCCGAAAAGUGUCUUUCUUUUACAACGAUGCGCCUUUAUGCAAACGCGAAACCUAAUCCGUCGAACGUUGCGGUCUUUGUUUCGAUAGAACAAAAUGGAUCAUACGUAAUUGGACAAAAUAAUAUAAAACGGAAAAUGGGAAACUUUUCGGACGACCUUAAUAUAUUUCGCUAUUUACGUACCAGUACUACAUGUACGUACCAGUACCGGUGCCUGGUGUAUCUAUAAGGUUUCUCACGAAAGUAUUCCAACGCUCGUAGAUACUUUUUGCGAUUACAAUGGCUGUUACCCGCGACAUCGUCCGAUAGAUUUACUAUUUUCCAAUUUUUCUAUUUACCGUGUGAUCUAAUGACCAGAUAUUUACCUUUGGUAUCGUAACGUUGCUGGUUUUACAGCAAGAAGGAAUUGAUACGUAUCGAUUUCCCGAAUUUCCGGAUCCGAAUAAAUCGACGUACGAUUCGAUCGGUUAUUGCGAAGGAAAGUUUAGCUGGAAACUGCAACCUUUCGAACGUAGAAGGCAGGUCGUCGAUGGAAAUGACGGAAAUGCAGGGUGUACACCGCUCUGUUGAAAAAGUUGGUAGUAUGAUUUUUUUACCGUCGUCUCGGCGACGCUGCGGCGAACUGGUCGGGCGAGGAGUGCAGUUUGUAGCCUUAUCUAUAAGCGGAUUAAAUUUCGUGAGCCUACGAUGAGCCGUUUGGCAACUCGCGACAAUAUCUUUGGUAUUCCCCGUAUUGUUUUUGAAGCGUCUUUUGAAACGUCUUUCGAAACGAAAGAACAAGACGAAACUCGGAAAAAAAAAGGGACCGAGGCGGUUGAUACGCUGAAAGAAGCGUAUGGAGAGAGCGCCAUAAAGCCAGUAACCAUUUGCAAAUGGGUGAAAAGGUUUCAGGAAGAAAGACGAAGCUCGUGAGAGUCCACCUCGCUCACUGAUCGCCGAACAACGAUCUGGUAUCGCCUUAGAAAGCGUACGUUCGAUUCUAAAAGAUUAUUCGGAAAUGUAAAAGCUUGGCGAUACACCGCGGUUUGCCGAUGCGAUUCUAAGAACUUUUUAAACGAAGUAGGACGUACGCGCCAACUCUGAUCUCUGUAGUCUCGCGCCGUUUUACGGAUUUGAUGGAUCGAGGUUGCCAAGUAAUAUCAUCGGGCUUUCGAUCUUUUAGUUCGAGACCAAAGCUAAAUGUAGGACAGACGCGUAACGUUUCUAAAUUUCAUUGGAGCUGCGAAUUUUGUCAAAAGUCUGUCUUACUCGCGAUUAAACCUUGUCGUUAGAAAGGACCGCGAUAUAUGGCUCGUACAAUGCACGGAUAGAACCGCGUUAAGGCGAGUAAAGUUACGCAAAAUUUGUCCGUGAUAGUCGUUCGAAUACUUUCGUGAGCUACCGUAGCUAUGAAAAUAAGUUAGUGUCUGGAUAAUUUGAAAGGGGUAGCGCAUAAUGUAUGUACGGUAUAUAGUAUACGGUGCGGAAUACGUCGUAGAGUAUAAGGCAACUCGACUCGUUGUUCGCUCGUCGAUCGGUUCGGCUGCGCAGCCGCACUUUCCUUCCGCUAUAGCACGUUCAAUCCCCGUCUCCGCGUCUCAGCGCCGACAUCGCCACUGCUAUAUUCUCCAACGACCACCCUUCGCUUAGGUCAGUGAAAUUUUAAUUGGGGAUUCGUUUCGACCGUGCAAAAUUCCUUCGGCUGACGAUAUUCUCUCGUUAUUUUUUCAUGGAGUUCGUUACGGCGUCUGCCGCGUCAUUUCUGAUUAGCUAAACGUUACAAUACGAAAAGAUUUGCUUUGAUCGAUUCGUCUCCCUUUUUUCGAUCGACGAACUUUGUUUUAUUCGUUAAUCGUUAUUUGAUAUCUUUUUACUAUUAUAUAUAAUGAUACCACGUUAAUGGAUCGUAAUACGAAUUACAGACGAUUUCCGUUAACGAUGUAGCAAUUACGAAGCAAAUACUUAAUAAUAUUUGCAAGGUAUAUCUCUGGCUUUUAAUUGCGAGCCCAACGAAAGCCCUUCGAGAACCAUUAGCAAACUACAAUGGGCCGUAACAACUAUACCGUCCACGACAAUUCCGUUCGUUACGACGUAUUACAUCGUUAAUCGAUAACGAUGCCACGCGUUUAUAAAAUCCUUCGUAGAUGGAUUGAUUCGCUCGAUACCGCAAACAGAGCGGCGACUUGUACGAAACGAGUUUACUAAAACAAUCGUUCGGAUUAUUAUGGAUAGGGCGGAAGAUAGUCGCGCGAAAUAUCAAUCGUAUCGAACGAAUCGAAAAUUUGUAAAGGAAAUAACCGAUUUUUUAAAUAAAUACGUAACUUCUUGGAAAUGGAAAGAACGAAGGUAACGGUCGAGCAACAGCCGCGCAAACGCGAGAACGAAAUAUUUUCGUUUUUUAGUGACCUAAAACUUUUACUUUUAAUACCGUUGAUACUGUAUUGUACGAAACGCGUUACGGAAUUGCAAAGGAAGAGGAAAAGAAGAGGCAAAGGAAAAAGGAAUUUCUCGUCUAAAAAAAAAAGUAGUUGCAACUGAUCAAAGAGGCUGGAGGUAGAGGCCUGCUCGUUGACAUCGAAGUUUCACCGUAACGUUAUAAUCGAAUAACGCGUGCACGGGGAUCAAGUUAAACGGAUUAUUGUUCCUUUACCCCGUGAAAUCUUGGAUGCGACACGAAACAGGCGAUUUGCGUGCAUGUGCAACCAGGGGGAAUUAUAUUUCACGGUUCUAUUCUUCGCGUUAAUUAUAAAGCGAAAGCUCCUUCGUUCGCUAAUGUAAACUGCUAAUUUUUUCGAUAAAUUUCUUGGAAUUUCGUUAGCGGUAAAUUUUAUCGAUAAAAAUUAACGAGCAAAUAUAUAUGUAUACCGCGACGUGGAUAUUUUGCGUAAUUACGUCAAAUUUACGAUCUAACGAUCUUACGAUAUAGCUACUAUAUAAUACCAAUAAAAAUAUUAAUAAUAGGCAA